rnacentral:rRNA from 1 species
AUGACGGCGCUGUCGGGCGCGCACACCAUCGGCCUGGCCCAGUGCCUAAACUUCAACGGCGGAAUCUACAACGACGCCAACAUCGACCCGUCGUUCGCGGCGCUGCGGCGGCAGACGUGCCCGAGCUCCGGCAACAGGAACCUGGCGCCCAUCGACGUGCAGACCCCCGGGGCGUUCGACGCCGCCUACUACCGGAACCUGCUGGCGAAGCGCGGCCUGUUCCACUCCGACCAGGCGCUCUUCAACGGAGGGUCGGAGGACGCGCUGGUGCGGCAGUACAGCGCCAGCCCCGCGCUCUUCCGGAGCGACUUCGCCAAGGCGAUGAUAAAGAUGGGCAACAUACAUCCGCUCACCGGCAGCGCCGGCGAGAUCAGGAAAAACUGCCAUGUCGUCAACAGCUAG